rnacentral:rRNA from 1 species
GAUGAACGCUGGCGGCGUGCUUAACACAUGCAAGUCGAACGGAAAGGCCAGUGCUUGCACUGGUGCUCGAGUGGCGAACGGGUGAGUAACACGUGGGUGAUCUGCCCUGCACUUUGGGAUAAGCCUGGGAAACUGGGUCUAAUACCAGAUAGGACCAUGCUUUGGAUGGUGUGGUGGAAAGUUUUUUCGGUGUGGGAUGAGCUUGCGGCCUAUCAGCUUGUUGGUGGGGUAAUGGCCUACCAAGGCGUCGACGGGUAGCCGGCCUGAGAGGGUGUACGGCCACAUUGGGACUGAGAUACGGCCCAGACUCCUACGGGAGGCAGCAGUGGGGAAUAUUGCACAAUGGGCGCAAGCCUGAUGCAGCGACGCCGCGUGGGGGAUGACGGCCUUCGGGUUGUAAACUCCUUUCGCAACUGACGAAGCUUUUUGUGACGGUAGGUUGAGAGGAAGCACCGGCUAACUACGUG